rnacentral:rRNA from 1 species
CCCAGAGCCUGAAUCAGUGUGUGUGUUAGUGGAAGCGUCUGGAAAGGCGCGCGAUACAGGGUGACAGCCCCGUACACAAAAAUGCACAUACUGUGAGCUCGAUGAGUAGGGCGGGACACGUGGUAUCCUGUCUGAAUAUGGGGGGACCAUCCUCCAAGGCUAAAUACUCCUGACUGACCGAUAGUGAACCAGUACCGUGAGGGAAAGGCGAAAAGAACCCCGGCGAGGGGAGUGAAAAAGAACCUGAAACCGUGUACGUACAAGCAGUGGGAGCACGCUUAGGCGUGUGACUGCGUACCUUUUGUAUAAUGGGUCAGCGACUUAUAUUCUGUAGCAAGGUUAACCGAAUAGGGGAGCCGAAGGGAAACCGAGUCUUAACUGGGCGUUAAGUUGCAGGGUAUAGACCCGAAACCCGGUGAUCUAGCCAUGGGCAGGUUGAAGGUUGGGUAACACU